CAUGGCGGGGUUCCUGCCUUCCUGUGUGGCAGACUGUGGCAGAUAUUCCGAGCUUGGCUAUGCAGGCAACACUGAGCCAUAGUUUACUAUUCUUUCAUGCAUUACUAUCAGAGAGUCAGCAAAGGUAGUUGACAAAGCCCAAGGGAGAAUGUUGAGGGGAGUUGAUGAGCUUGACUUUUUCAUACAGGAUGAAGCCAUUGAUAAAUCUAUGUAUGCCACAAAGUGGUCAAUAUGACAUGGAAUCACUGAAGACUGGGAUAUUAUGGAAAUGUUCAUGGAGCAAGUGGUUUUUAAAUAUCUUUGAGCAGAAUCUGAGGACCAUUAUUUUUUAAUGACAGAACUUCCACUGAAUACACUAGAAAAUACAGAAUAUUUUUUCAGAAAUUAUGUUUGAAUUAUUUAAUGUACCAGGAUUCUACAUUGCAGUUCAGGAGGUACUAGCCUUGGAAGUAUCUUGGACAUCUCAACAAGUGGGUGAAUAUAUGUUAAUGAGUAUAGUCAUUGACAAAGGAGAUGGAGUCACCCUUAUUCUCCCAGUUGUAGAAGGUUAUGUAAUUGGGAGCUGCAUCAAUCACAUCCUGAUUGUAGGUGAUACUGUGUAUUUCAUUCAACAACUGCUAAGGGAGAGGGAGGUAGGAAUCCCUCUUGAACGUCACUGGAGACCACAAAAGCCAUUAAGGAGAAAUACUGUUACAUUUGCCCUGAUAUAGUCAAGGAAUUUGCUAAGUAUGAUGUGGAUCCCUGGAAGUGGGUCAAACAGUACACAGGUAUCAAUGUGAUCAACCAGGAGAAGUUCAUAAUAGACGUUGGUUACAAAAGAUUCCUACAACCUGAAAUAUUUUUUUUACCCAGAGUUUGCCAACCCAGACUUUAUGGAAUCCAUCUUGAAUGUUGUUGAUGAAUACAAAACUGUCCUAUUGAUGUGCGUUGUCCACUGUAUAAGAAUGUUGUUCUUUCAAGGGGUUUGACCAUAUUCAGGGAUUUGAAUCUCAACUACAGAGAGAUUUGAAGAGUGGUACAUGCCAGAUUAAAACUCAGUAAGGAGCUCAGUGGCAGGAGAAUCAAACCUAAGCUUACAGAGGUUCGGGUGGUAAUCCAUCACAUGCAGCACUAUGCCUUAUGGUUUGGAAGCUUAAUGCUAGCCUCAACUCUGGAGUUAUUUCAGGUCUGUCACACCAAGAAGGACUAUAAAGAAUAUGGCCCCAGCAUCUGCCACCAGAGCCUUCUCUUUGGAGUAAUGUCUUAGU
rnacentral:lncRNA from 1 species